UUCAAUAUUAGCCUUCCUAAAAUUAUAGAUUUUUAUAAAUAUAAAUUUAUAUUGAAAAACUGUAUUAUAUAUUAUAUUAUCAUUUCAAGAAAGUAUGCCUCUUUUUGCUUGGUCAAAAACCAUAUUAGGUAAAAACUUAAGACUUUAUGAGUUUUGUCUUAGUAUGCAAGCGGUUAGGUGACGUCACAUGACGUUGUAUUACGCAAACCCAAACAGGAAGUAAGAGCAACAGCGUGGCUACAUGAAACGAUACACAUGUUGCUGCGCAGUACAUUUAUCAGCCAAGCUACGAAAACGCCGAGAACACAGUUUCAGCGACAUGUAUCAUAAAGAAUACAGCCGCUUUGAGUGAGAUUGUGCAAGACUUCAAGUAUGCCUCCGAGGAGUCCGAGACGGAUUCAGAUCCUCUAUGAACUCUCCCUUCAUCUAAGCAUGUCUGAGACAAAAGCGCUUCCUUUGACGUAUCUGAUGGAGACUACAGCAGGAGGCAAACAGUAGAUCAUGUCGCCAAAUGACAGGCUCCUUGCGGAUUCCUUCAGAGAGUCUUGGCUAAUCCAAAUGAGA